rnacentral:rRNA from 1 species
GAUGAACGCUGGCGGCGUGCUUAACACAUGCAAGUCGAACGGUGAAGGCGGAGCUUGCUCUGCUGGAUCAGUGGCGAACGGGUGAGUAACACGUGAGCAAUCUGCCCCUGACUCUGGGAUAAGCGCUGGAAACGGCGUCUAAUACUGGAUACGAGCUGCGAAGGCAUCUUCAGCAGCUGGAAAGAAAUUCGGUCAGGGAUGAGCUCGCGGCCUAUCAGCUUGUUGGUGAGGUAAUGGCUCACCAAGGCGUCGACGGGUAGCCGGCCUGAGAGGGUGACCGGCCACACUGGGACUGAGACACGGCCCAGACUCCUACGGGAGGCAGCAGUGGGGAAUAUUGCACAAUGGGCGAAAGCCUGAUGCAGCAACGCCGCGUGAGGGACGACGGCCUUCGGGUUGUAAACCUCUUUUAGCAGGGAAGAAGCGAAAGUGACGGUACCUGCAGAAAAAGCGCCGGCUAGCUACGUG